GAUGAACGCUAGCGGCAGGCCUAAUACAUGCAAGUCGUGGGGCAGCAGGGGUAGCAAUACCUGCUGGCGACCGGCAAACGGGUGCGGAACACGUACGCAACCUUCCUUUAACUGGAGAAUAGCCCCUCGAAAGAGGGAUUAAUACUCCGUAACAUGUACAUGUGGCAUCACAAGUAUAUUAUAGCUCCGGCGGUUAAAGAUGGGCGUGCGCCUGAUUAGAUAGUUGGCGGGGUAACGGCCCACCAAGUCUGCGAUCAGUAACUGGUGUGAGAGCACGACCAGUCACACGGGCACUGAGACACGGGCCCGAUCCCACGGGAGCAGCAGUAAGGAAUAUUGGUCAAUGGACGCAAGUCUGAACCAGCCAUGCCGCGUGGAGGAUUAAGGGCCCCU
rnacentral:rRNA from 1 species